AUUGAACGCUGGCGGCAUGCCUAACACAUGCAAGUCGAACGAGAUCUUCGGAUCUAGUGGCGCACGGGUGCGUAACGCGUGGGAAUCUGCCCUUGGGUUCGGAAUAACAGUUAGAAAUGACUGCUAAUACCGGAUGAUGACGUAAGUCCAAAGAUUUAUCGCCCAAGGAUGAGCCCGCGUAGGAUUAGGUAGUUGGUGAGGUAAAGGCUCACCAAGCCGACGAUCCUUAGCUGGUCUGAGAGGAUGAUCAGCCACACUGGGACUGAGACACGGCCCAGAAUCCUACGGGAGGCAGCAGUGGGGAAUAUUGGACAAUGGGCGAAAGCCUGAUCCAGCAAUGCCGCGUGAGUGAUGAAGGCCUUAGGGUUGUAAAGCUCUUUUACCCGUGAUGAUAAUGACAGUAGCGGGAGAAUAAGCUCCGGCUAACUCCGUGCCAGCAGCCGCCGUAAAAC
rnacentral:rRNA from 1 species